rnacentral:lncRNA from 1 species
UCUCUCUAUGUGUUUUCACAGAAACCCAGGCCCAGGGAGAACAUUUACCCCUCUUCCUACAUUUCAGAGCUGAAAAUGUCGGAAUUGUCAUGGUAAUGCCCAUAGUUGAUGUGACAGAUACUGAGAAGGAAAAACACGCUUGCCACAUGUGAAAACUGCCUGGUUGGUUCUGCUCUGAGUGCCUCUCUGGAGGGCACAUUGAUGGAUUUGACAAUCACUUAAUUCUACUAGAGCCUGACCUUCAGUCUGGAAGUCAGAUAUACGCAGCAGAGACGUAGAUGAUAGCCGCAGGCUGCUGCUGGUGGGAAGCUGACAGAGUCCACUUUAAAGGACUGCCUUCAGUACCAUCUACAUUCUUCUACCUGGGACUGUGUGUGGCCAUGCGGACAGGCUCUCACCUUCACUAAACAAUUCAACUGCUGAAUUCCAACUAUCACGACAACCAUUUACACCAGUAAAAUGAACCAGAGAAGUCAGUGUAUCAGAACCUAAGACGGGAAAACUCUAUUGGAUUUCCUUUUACCUUAACUCUUAGUCCCUGCUUGCAGCUGAACCUCGGAGAGCAAUCAGCAUUCAAUGUUCUGUAGUAUAAGGAUCCUCCAGCAGAUCAUCUCUAGAGCUAGCUCUGACUUCUGCUCCCAGAGUCACCAUGGUGGUUAAGUAUGAAUUUGAUGGUCAUCUGGAAUCAGACUCUCUCCUCAUGGCUGCAAUUCCUCCGUGGUUCCGGCUGAUUUGAACCUCUCUCCAUCUCUGUGCUCCUUUCCCUGGCUGGUGGAAGUUCUGCCCCAUUCCCUUUUCUGCCCAGCCAUUGGGUGAUCGUCAUUUAUUGACAAGGCAGAGAAUAAAUGAAUUUAGUGGAAAAAGUGGGGACUCUACCGAACCUUAAAACAGACCCAGCUUUCCUCCUUCCUGUGGAUGCUCUCCACCUCUCACUGGAGCCUCCAUGUCAGCCACCUAUUCAUGGAGGCACUCUCCACCUGAGAACCCCCUGCUACACCUGCCUGGGAUUCAGAAGCAAGAAAUACACACUGGAAAAAAAAGAUGGCAUUGUCAAAAACUGGUGCUGCUCAAACUGGAUGGCUGCAUAAUAGAAAAAUGCAAAUAGAUUCAUGCUUAUCACUUGCGCAAGCUCAACUCCAAGUGGAUCAGAGAUCUCAAAACAAGAUAUGCUGAGCCUGAUAGAAGAAAAGUGGGGAAUAGUUUUGAAUCAUCGGCACAGAAUUACAUGUGUCUGUGUUGUCUCCCCAGAGGCAGAGACGGAGAUUGACUGAACCACCAUUCAGAUGGUGCUAUUAAAUUCCAGGAGGUACUUCUGGUGGUGAGUUCUCCAUCACCACUCAGCAUUCCUAGCCAUCAGUCACUGGUGAACGAGGAGAGAGAGGGUGGGGAGAGGGGACCUGACAUACCACAUUCUGUUCAGCUCAUGACUUAGAGCUGAACAGCAGCGUGUGCUGGUACAGGGGCAGAUGAUCUGAUUCUGGCACUGGGAAUCUGUGUUUUAGGCAUCACUUUUAUAAUUUAAGUAAAACUGAGGAUUCAAAAACCA